GAUGAACGCUGGCGGCGUGCCUAAUACAUGCAAGUCGAGCGAACAGACGAGGAGCUUGCUCCUCUGACGUUAGCGGCGGACGGGUGAUUAACACGUGGAUAACCUACCUAUAAGACUGGGAUAACUUCGGGAAACCGGAGCUAACACCGGAUAAUAUAUUGAACCGCAUGGUUCAAUAGUGAAAGACGGUUUUGCUGUCACUUAUAGAUGUAUCCGCGCCGCAUUAGCUAGUUGGUAAGGUAACGGCUUACCAAGGCAACGAUGCGUAGCCGACCUGAGAGGGUGAUCGGCCACACUGGAACUGAGACACGGUCCAGACUCCUACGGGAGGCAGCAGUAGGGAAUCUUCCGCAAUGGGCGAAAGCCUGACGGAGCAACGCCGCGUGAGUGAUGAAGGUCUUCGGAUCGUAAAACUCUGUUAUUAGGGAAGAACAAAUGUGUAAGUAACUAUGCACGUCUUGACGGUACCUAAUCAGAAAGCCACGGCUAACUACGUG
rnacentral:rRNA from 1 species